rnacentral:rRNA from 1 species
AGAGUUUGAUCAUGGCUCAGGGCGAACGCUGGCGGCGUGCUUCACACAUGCAAGUCGAACGAGGAGGCUCCCUUCGGGGAGUAGUACUAGUGGCGAACGGGUGAGUAACGCGUAGGAAGGUAUCCUUCAGACCGGGACAACCACUGGAAACGGUGGCUAAUACCGGAUAAGACCGAGAGGUGAAAGCGAGCUACGGCUUGGCUGGAGGAGCUGCCUGCGACCCAUCAGGUAGUUGGUAGGGUAAAGGCCUACCAAGCCGACGACGGGUAGCCGGCGUGAGAGCGUGGCCGGCCACAGGGGGACUGAGACACGGCCCCCACUCCUACGGGAGGCAGCAGUGGGGAAUAUUGGACAAUGGGGGAAACCCUGAUCCAGCGACGCCGCGUGGAGGACGAAGUCUUUCGGGACGUAAACUCCUGAACUUAUCGAACAAUAAAGUGAGAAGGGAAUGGCUCACCGAUGAGGGUAGAUAAGGAAAAGCCCCGGCUAACUACGUGCCAGCAGCCGCGGUAAUACGUAGGGGGCGAGCGUUGCCCGGAAUUACUGGGCGUAAAGGGGGUGUAGGCGGUCUCUUAAGUCAGAUGUAAAAGACCCUGGCUCAACCAGGGGAUUGCGUCUGAAACUGGGAGACUUGAGGUUACUAGAGGGAGACGGAAUUACCAGUGUAGGGGUGAAAUCCGUAGAUACUGGUAAGAAGGCCGGUGGUGAAGACGGUCUCCUGGGGUAAACCUGACGCUGAGGCCCGAAAGCUAGGG